GUUGGGAAAACUUGGUUAUUUAGGGAAUCACUGGAGCAUGACUGGAAGCGGGCCCCCUCUUAGGCAGUCAAGGGAUCCGCCACCGCUUGUAAACUAUGACUAUUUAGUAUUACAUUUGUAUAUUUUACUGUUGUUUGGAACAAAUACCGCCACUGCACCAGCUGGGGCCAGCAUUUCAACUUGCACGUCUCAUUUUUACAUACUUCUUUGUGUAUUCACAACAUAUUUGAUAUAUCUUCGAGUUUAAUUGACAAAAAAACGUCUAUUCUUACCAUUUCUUUCACAAUCGUUACAGGAAACAUUCUUUGACAGGCGGCGGGAAACUAUCUACUAUGCAUAAUAUACAACUCGUUUCAGGACUUGAUUCCGGAUUUUUUUCUGAUAGGACUUUUUUUAAAGUAAGACAGGUUGCAGUCGUAUUGAUUGAUCCAGGGGUACGAAGAGGGCGUACGCUACACUUUGAUCGUCAAAACAGUUUCUCAUUGUUCUCACAAUUGAUAUGAUUAUAAAAACGUUAAAAAAA
rnacentral:lncRNA from 1 species